GACGAACGCUGGCGGCGUGCUUAACACAUGCAAGUCGAACGGAAAGGCGCUGCUUUUGCGGGGUGCUCGAGUGGCGAACGGGUGAGUAACACGCGAGUAACCCGCCCCUGUCUUUGGGAUAAAUUCAGGAAAAUGCGGCUAAUACCGGGGAGGAGCUCCUGCUGCAUGGUGGGCGAUGGUGAGUUACGGCGGUGGGGGCUGGACUGGCGGCUUAUCGGCUAGAUGGUGGGGUAGUGGCUUUCCAAGUCUAUGACGGAUAGCCGGCCUGGGAGGGGGACCGGGCACAUGAGGACUGAGAUACGGCCCAGACUGCUACGGGAGGCAACAGGGGAGAAUAUGGCACAGUGGGGGGGAGCGAGUUGCGGCGACGCCGGGUGCGGGAUGACGGGCUUCGGGUGGAAAACCGCUGUCGCAGGAGACGAAGCGUGAGUGACGGUACUGGGUAAAGAAGCACCGGCUAACUACGUG
rnacentral:rRNA from 1 species